rnacentral:rRNA from 1 species
UACGGAGGAUGCAAGCGUUAUCCGGAAUGAUUGGGCGUAAAGCGUCCGCAGGUGGCUGUGUAAGUCUGCUGUCAAAGAGCAAAGCUCAACUUUGUAAAGGCAGUGGAAACUACACGGCUAGAGUGCGUUCGGGGCAGAGGGAAUUCCUGGUGUAGCGGUGAAAUGCGUAGAGAUCAGGAAGAACACCGGUGGCGAAGGCGCUCUGCUAGGCCGCAACUGACACUGAGGGACGAAAAGCUAGGGGAGCGAAUGGG